GUUUUUAUAGUUUAAAUUAAAACAUUGGUCUUGUAAACCAAAAUUGUGAUAUUCUCUAAAAACU
rnacentral:tRNA from 1 species